rnacentral:rRNA from 1 species
GAUGAACGCUAGCGGCAGGCCUAAUACAUGCAAGUCGAACGGGAUCGGGGAGCUUGCUCCCCGUGAGAGUGGCGCACGGGUGCGUAACACGUAUGUAACCUACCUUUAUCAGGGGGAUAGCCUCUCGAAAGAGAGAUUAACACCGCAUAACAUCACAUGAUAGCAUUAUCGAGUGAUCAAAUAUUCAUAGGAUAAAGAUGGGCAUGCGGGACAUUAGCUAGUUGGCGGGGUAACGGCCCACCAAGGCGACGAUGUCUAGGGGAUCUGAGAGGAUGACCCCCCACACUGGUACUGAGACACGGACCAGACUCCUACGGGAGGCAGCAGUAAGGAAUAUUGGUCAAUGGACGCAAGUCCGAACCAGCCAUGCCGCGUGCAGGAGGACGGCCCUACGGGUUGUAAACUGCUUUUGUACCGGAAUAAACCCUUUUACGUGUAAGAGGCUGAAUGUACGGUAAGAAUAAGGAUCGGCUAACUCCGUGCCAGCCGCCGCCGUAAUAC